GAGGUAAAUAAAACAUAGUAAAAUGCAUAUCAGUAAUAUAUUGAUAAGUAAUGCUCCUUGCAACUGCUACUCUAACAGAAAGUAGUGAUUGCUCUUAUAGUGGGCAUUGUAAUAACAUUAACAAUGUUUCAAAAAGUAUAGAAGUGAUUAUAGAAGUAUAUGUAAACAGUUAAAAGGGUAAAGUUACAAUUAUCAAAGUGCAGAAAUACACCUAACAAUAAGAUUCUGACAAAGUAUGACUAAACAGUUUUGCCUUUUCUUAGCACUAAAGGAUUUAUUGCAUUGAGUUGAAGGUCCUUGUGGAAUAUUUUACAUGAACAUGCAUUUACAUAAAGCAAAUACCUCUGUGUGUGUGUGUGUGUGUGUGUGUGUGUGUGUGUGUGUGUGUGUGUGUGUGUGUGUGUGUGUGUGUGUGUGUGUGUGUGUGUGUGUGUGUGUAGGUGUGGUGUGUGUACAGGAGUGGGUGUGUAUGUGCAGGUGUGUGCAUCUGUGUACGUCUCUGUCUAUGUACGUCUGCAUGUCCUCAACUAGCAAAAUUUCUUUCACAAAGAUAUUAAAUGGCUUCCACAUCUUCAAAAUUCUAAUAACAACAACUAAAACAAAUUUUUCAUUUUGCACAAAAUUAAUAAAAAAAAUA